GAUGUGCUGUCCUGGCACUGUGCUGGGUGUGAGGCCCCAGUACAUCCCAGACCUGCAGAAGCAGCACUGUCCAGAGGAGGCAGAGGCGUGCUGCCCGGAGCCGGUGGCUGCACGUGCAGUGUUCCUCCGCAGGCUCCUGCUCCUGAUCCACCAGCGGUAAGACAAGUUUUGCAGCUGAAUGGUGUUUAGCAGAUGGAGUGUUUUGGACACUAAGUACCUCUGCACAAGA